CAGUCGCCGCGGUAAUACGAAGGGGGCUAGUGUUGCUCGGAAUGACUGGGCGUAAAGGGCGCGUAGGCGGUGCGGAUAGUCAGAUGUGAAAUUCCUGGGCUUAACCUGGGGGCUGCAUUUGAUACGUCCGCGCUUGAGUGUGGAAGAGGGUCGUGGAAUUCCCAGUGUAGAGGUGAAAUUCGUAGAUAUUGGGAAGAACACCGGUGGCGAAGGCGGCGACCUGGUCCAUAACUGACGCUGAGGCGCGAAAGCGUGGGGAGCAAACAGGAUUAGAUACCCCCGUAGUCCCUGUCUCUUAUAC
rnacentral:rRNA from 1 species